rnacentral:rRNA from 2 species
AUGCAGUCGAGCGGAUCAAUGGGGAGCUUGCUCCCCUGAGAUCAGCGGCGGACGGGUGAGUAACACGUGGGCAACCUGCCUGUAAGACUGGGAUAACUCCGGGAAACCGGGGCUAAUACCGGAUAACAUUUUCCACUGCAUAGUGGGAAAUUGAAAGAUGGCUUCGGCUAUCACUUACAGAUGGGCCCGCGGCGCAUUAGCUAGUUGGUGAGGUAAGGGCUCACCAAGGCGACGAUGCGUAGCCGACCUGAGAGGGUGAUCGGCCACACUGGGACUGAGACACGGCCCAGACUCCUACGGGAGGCAGCAGUAGGGAAUCUUCGGCAAUGGGCGAAAGCCUGACCGAGCAACGCCGCGUGAGCGAUGAAGGCCUUCGGGUCGUAAAGCUCUGUUGUUAGGGAAGAACAAGUACCGUUCAAAUAGGGCGGUACCUUGACGGUACCUAACCAGAAAGCCACGGCUAACUACGUGCCAGCAGCCGCGGUAAUACGUAGGUGGCAAGCGUUGUCCGGAAUUAUUGGGCGUAAAGCGCGCGCAGGCGGUCUCUUAAGUCUGAUGUGAAAGCCCACGGCUCAACCGUGGAGGGUCAUUGGAAACUGGGGGACUUGAGUACUGGAGAGGAGAGUGGAAUUCCAUGUGUAGCGGUGAAAUGCGUAGAUAUAUGGAGGAACACCAGUGGCGAAGGCGGCUCUCUGGCCAGUAACUGACGCUGAGGCGCGAAA